GCAGGCAGUCCGCAGGAGCGAUCCAUUACAGGACGUUUCAAGUGAUGAGGUCGUGAUCAUUGAAAUAUAUUCAGAGCAAGCAACAGUUUCAGAACCCGA